rnacentral:rRNA from 1 species
GAUGAACGCUAGCGGGAGGCCUAACACAUGCAAGCCGAGCGGUAUUUCUUCUUCGGGAGAGAGAGAGCGGCGUACGGGUGCGGAACACGUGUGCAACCUGCCUUUAUCUGGAGGAUAGCCUUUCGAAAGGAAGAUUAAUACUCCAUAAUAUAUUAAUUGGCAUCAAUUGAUAUUGAAAACUCCGGUGGAUAGAGAUGGGCACGCGCAAGAUUAGCUAGUUGGUGAGGUAACGGCUCACCAAGGCAAUGAUCUUUAGGGGGCCUGAGAGGGUGAUCCCCCACACUGGUACUGAGACACGGACCAGACUCCUACGGGGGGCAGCAGUGAGGAAUAUUGGUCAAUGGGUGCAAGCCUGAACCAGCCAUCCCGCGUGAAGGAUUAAGGUCCUAUGGAUUGUAAACUUCUUUUGUAUAGGGAUAAACCUACCCUCGUGAGGGUAGCUGAAGGUACUAUACGAAUAAGCACCGGCUAACUCCGUGCCAGCCGCCGCCGUAACAC